AUGCCAAACUCCAUCUAAAAGUAUUUUAACAGCAUUGUCUAAUCCUUAUUCAUUUACAUGCUUUUAUUUUUCUUUUCUUUCUUUCUUUCUUUCUUUCUUUAACUCAAAUGAAUUGUGAUGCUACAUGGAAUAUUUGUUCAAAAGUUUCAUUAAAUUGGUGUAAUUGGUGUAAAUAGAAGUAGUUAACUGAAAGAAUCAUGGUAGAAUUAUGGUUGUUCUUGUGGCAAAGAUAUCUUGGCUUUAUCGUUGCCACUAUUAAUUACCCAGAAUCCACAGAGAGCUUCAGUGGGCGGAGCUUUAUGAUGAUGCGAGCAACAGAAAGGAGUUCAAAAUAUCUUGUGUUGCUCUAAAUGUCUUUCAUUUAUGAUCUCUCUCAGUCAUAAUGUUGUUCUUUUGUCUCACAGUUCUGGCACUUCUAACAGAGAGUGUUUUUGCGAAUGCAAUAACACCCAUGUCUACUGUAAAUCAUGCUUUAGAAGGAGAAAAGACGACUUUUUCCUGCAACUACAGUGGAAGUAAUAUACAGAGUUUUCAGUGGUAUAGACAGCAUCCCAACACUGCUCCAGAGUUUCUUUUGCAAGCUUUUGAAAAUCAGGAUCCAGCUAAGAAAGGCCGUCAUAUCGCUGAAGCAAAAAAGGACAAAAAACAGCUGAAUCUGGAGAUCUCCAAAACUGAAAUAGCAGACUCUGCCAUAUACUACUGUGCACUGGUGCCCACAGUAACAGGAAACCCUUCUACACUGUACAAAAACCAGACAUACAGUAUGAUGAUCACUUAACAUUAAUCUGAACCACACC